rnacentral:rRNA from 1 species
AUUGAACGCUGGCGGCAGGCUUAACACAUGCAAGUCGAGCGGUAGCACAAGAGAGCUUGCUCUCUGGGUGACGAGCGGCGGACGGGUGAGUAAUGUCUGGGAAACUGCCUGAUGGAGGGGGAUAACUACUGGAAACGGUAGCUAAUACCGCAUAACGUCGCAAGACCAAAGAGGGGGACCUUCGGGCCUCUUGCCAUCAGAUGUGCCCAGAUGGGAUUAGCUAGUAGGUGGGGUAAUGGCUCACCUAGGCGACGAUCCCUAGCUGGUCUGAGAGGAUGACCAGCCACACUGGAACUGAGACACGGUCCAGACUCCUACGGGAGGCAGCAGUGGGGAAUAUUGCACAAUGGGCGCAAGCCUGAUGCAGCCAUGCCGCGUGUGUGAAGAAGGCCUUCAGGUUGUAAAGCACUUUCAGCGAGGAGGAAGGUGGUGAACUUAAUACGUUCAUCAAUUGACGUUACUCGCAGAAGAAGCACCGGCUAACUCCGUG